rnacentral:tRNA from 1 species
UGAGGCAUCGUCUAACGGCAGGACACCGGCCUUUGGAGCCGACUAUCAAGGUUCGAAUCCUUGUGCCUCAG